AAUCAUCUCCAUUCAAACAUACAAAUAGGACGAUAUAAGAUUAUCAAAUAAACUAAAUGGAGAAAAUCUUAGCAUUUUUUAUCAUCAUCUUCCUCGUCUCGUCAUGUAUGGUAGAAGUGACUGUUACAAAGAGCUUCUUGAAACUGUGUCAAACAGACCAGGAUUGUGUGGACUAUAAAUUUCCAAACUGUGAGAGCACAGGGAAACCGCCAAUUUGCCAGAACAAUUAUUGUUGGUGUCCCGAUGAAAGGCUUCAUGCUUCCACCACUCCUUUAUUGACGACCACCUCCAACUCUUGAUAAUCUUCAUGUUGAUUUAGAUAAUGAAAAGACAAUAUAUAUAAAACUUGUUCAUCGUUAUCUUCUAAUAACUAAUGGCGAUAUUUUAAUAAUAUAAUGCUGCCUACUCACAUGGUAUGAGCUCUAUUAUCUAAAAA